rnacentral:lncRNA from 1 species
CAGGACAAGCGGGACCACCCGGCCCCCUGGUAAGUCGGGGUGGGUGGGCCCUGGGGACCCGGCUGGGCACAGCCCAGGGAGUGUGACACCCUCGGUGCCUCUGCAGGGCCCCGUGGGUUUGCCUGGCCUCAAGGGAGACCCUGGCCACAAGGGAGACAAGGGCCAUGCUGGGCUCAUCGGGCUCAUUGGACCUCCGGGAGAGAUGGGGGAGAAAGGAGACCAGGGGCUGCCGGGCAUCCAGGGCCCCCCAGGACCCAAGGGAGACCCUGGUUUGGCUGGACCCACAGGUCCCACCGGCCCCCCGGGGCCCCCCGGCCUCUCGGGACCCUUGGGCCAGAAGGGCUCCAAAGGCUCGCCGGUGAGUACGGGGACGGGGCGGGACGGGCAGCACAAGCAGGGGCAUCUCCUGCUGUGUCCCUAGGAGAGCUGGGGAGAGGGCGAGGCGUCCGGGGCCCUCCAGGCCGGUCGGCUGAUUGCCGAUUCCUCUCCYUUUGCAGGGCGCGCUGGGCCCCAGAGGUGACACGGGCCCCCCUGGGCCCCCAGGGCCACCGGUGAGUGCGGGGUGCUUUGGGCACAGAGACAGACAGCACCCCGCUUGCGCCCUGCCAAGCCCCUGCU